rnacentral:rRNA from 1 species
GACGAACGCUGGCGGCGUGCUCAACACAUGCAAGUCGAACGGAGUGGCGAACGGGUGAGUAAUACGUGGGUGACCUGCCCUGCACUUCGGGAUAAGCCUGGGAAACUGGGUCUAAUACCGGAUAUUGUUGGAUGGGCGCGCGGCCUAUCAGCUUGUUGGUGGGGUAAUGGCCUACCAAGGCCGCGACGGCUAGCCGGCCUGAGAGGGUGGACGGCCACAUAGGGACGGAGACACUGCCGAGACUAAGACGGGAGGCAGCAGUGAGGAAUAUAGCACAAUGGGCGGAAGCCUGAUGGAGCGACGAAGCGUGGGGGAUGACGGCCUUCGGGUUGUAAACUCCUUUCACCAUCGACGCGGUAGAUGGAGAAGAAGCACCGGCUAACUACGUGCCAGCAGCCGCGGUAAUAC